rnacentral:rRNA from 1 species
UACGUAUGUCACGAGCGUUAUCCGGAUUUAUUGGGCGUAAAGCGCGUCUAGGUGGUUAUGUAAGUCUGAUGUGAAAAUGCAGGGCUUAACUCUGUAUUGCGUUGGAAACUGUAUAACUAGAGUACUGGAGAGGUAAGCGGAACUACAAGUGUAGAGGUGAAAUUCGUAGAUAUUUGUAGGAAUGCCGAUGGGGAAGCCAGCUUACUGGACAGAUACUGACGCUGAAGCGCGAAAGCGUGGGUAGCAAACAGG